rnacentral:rRNA from 1 species
CCUAUGGGAGGCAGCAGUAGGGAAUCUUCCACAAUGGGCGAAAGCCUGAUGGAGCAACGCCGCGUGGGUGAAGAAGGUCUUCGGAUCGUAAAACCCUGUUGUUAGAGAAGAAAGUGCGUGAGAGUAACUGUUCACGUUUCGACGGUAUCUAACCAGAAAGCCACGGCUAACUACGUGCCAGCAGCCGCGGUAAUACGUAGGGGGCGAGCGUUGUCCGGAAUGACUGGGCGUAAAGGGAGUGUAGGCGGCUCUUUAAGUUAUAUGUGAAAUCCCGCGGCUCAACCGUGGAAGUGCAUAUAAAACUGGGGAGCUGGAGUGCAGGAGAGGUGAGUGGAAUUCCUAGUGUAGCGGUGGAAUGCGUAGAUAUUAGGAAGAACACCGGUGGCGAAGGCGGCUCACUGGACUGUAACUGACGCUGAGGCUCUAAAGCGUGGGGAGCAAACAGGAUUAGAUACCCUUGUAGUC